rnacentral:rRNA from 1 species
GCAAGUCGAACGGUAACAGACAAGAGCUUGCUCUUGUGCUGACGAGUGGCGGACGGGUGAGUAACACGUGGAAAUCUACCCAGUAGCGGGGGAUAAGUCAGAGAAAUUUGAUCUAAUACCGCAUACGCCCUACGGGGGAAAGGCUUCGGCCACUAUUGGAUGAGUCCGCGUUAGAUUAGCUAGAUGGUGAGGUAAGGGCUCACCAUGGCGACGAUCUGUAGCUGGUUUGACAGGACGAUC